GGGCAUUAUUUCUUAUCUUCAAUCAACCAACAAUCGAUCAACCUACGAUUCAGACCAGUUUGCGACGUAAUUUAGCCGCAGCGUGCGUGAACACAUCAUCGUGACAAUCCUUACCAGCCUAGAUCACUACAAACUUAAACUGCAUGUUUAGUGAUGACAAGUUUUGGUUGCAUCAGUUGCACUGCAUUCGGUCAUGACGGAUAUAUUUUAGCAAUCGGUUCAAAUCUCCAUCGUUUGUGUAUCCAUCAUCCGGAUCGUAAAUAGUCAGCAGCGCAUCCGGUGUAAAGUUUAUCUUCAGUGCAAGCAGUGUGUUUGUCAUUCCGGUGGCCUGGUUUCGACUCAGAACACUUGCACAUAUCCUGCUCGGUAUACAUGGACAAAGGUAUCGUGGCGUUGGAUAACGCAUCAAAGAAACUUCUUCAAACAUGCAGUGUAGUCAUAAUGCAAGAAAGGCAUUGUGUUUAGAUUCCAUCCAGCCGGCUGCUCGUUCGAUGACUAGACGGGAAAAUUAAGCUUGUGCGUGAAUGUAUUGCUUCUGCUAUUUUUUAUCAAAAAAUCAACAAAGAAAUCAGCUGCAUCUGGUGUCACAACAGCUUUUAUGAUGAUGCGUGCUUCCGCGGAGCUAGAGGUUCGGCAUUGCCGAAUAUCAGCUGUAUGUGCAUCUUGUUUUAUUUGUUCUGUGCUUUCUUCAUAACAAAGGAGUCUGUAUUAACAUGUAGUCUGCAUGAACACGUUUUUGGACGGACAGAGGAAACACACUCUGAUUGGUAUCAUCAGAACAAACAAUCGGAAUCAAUUAGCUGCAUGUUUGAUGGAAAAGUAUUAUCAGCCUGUCAGCAUUGCUUUAGUAAAUGCCACGCUCUCGAUGGCAGUUACAUUGAAACAUAAACGAAAUGCGCUUGGAACAUCUUAGUGGUAUGACAUCGAAUUCAAACUUUGAGAAUUUAAAUGAAGAUCAUCGGUAGUAAUCAGCACGAACGUUCCAACACGAUGUGUGUAAGGAUUCGCAUUCAUCAAGGCAUUCAAGCUUAACGUCCACGAUAGGUCAACGCCACUAGACUUUUUUUAUAUUAGCGGAAUAUUUCUGGGAUUUAUUUAGAUAGUCCGCCAUUCAUCAGACAUCCUCCGCUUCAAUGCAUUAUCAUAGCUGAUAGACGGAAAAAUCAACUGAUUUAUAUCUACAUUGCAAAGAACGUGUAAUUUGUGGUUAAUCAACAAAAGAAAGUGGUAAAUAAAAA